GAACAAUCCAGUGCUUCCCAGACAGGAAUCAAGCAGCUCCCUUCUGCUAGCACCGGCAUACCUACUGCUUCUACCACUUCAGCUUCAGUUUCUACACAAGUAGAACCUGAAGAACCUGAGGCAGAUCAACAUCAACAACUACAGUACCAGCAACCCAGUAUAUCUGUGUUAUCUGAUGGGACGGUUGACAGUGGUCAGGGAUCCUCUGUCUUCACAGAAUCUCGAGUGAGCAGCCAACAGACAGUUUCAUAUGGUUCCCAACAUGAACAGGCACAUUCUACAGGCACAGUCCCAGGGCAUAUACCUUCUACUGUCCAAGCACAGUCUCAGCCCCAUGGGGUAUAUCCACCCUCAAGUGUGCAGGGAAUACAGCAGACAGCCCCUCCUCAACAGACAGUGCAGUAUUCACUUUCACAGACAUCAACCUCCAGUGAGGCCACUACUGCACAGCCAGUGAGUCAGCCUCAAGCUCCACAAGUCUUGCCUCAAGUAUCAGCUGGAAAACAGAGUACUCAGGGAGUCUCUCAGGUUGCUCCUGCAGAGCCAGUUGCAGUAGCACAGACCCAAGCUACCCAGCCGACCACUUUGGCUUCCUCUGUAGACAGUGCACAUUCAGAUGUUGCUUCAGGUAUGAGUGAUGGCAAUGAGAACGUCCCAUCUUCCAGUGGAAGGCAUGAAGGAAGAACUACAAAACGGCAUUACCGAAAAUCUGUAAGGAGUCGCUCUCGACAUGAAAAAACUUCACGCCCAAAAUUAAGAAUUUUGAAUGUUUCAAAUAAAGGAGACCGAGUAGUAGAAUGUCAAUUAGAGACUCAUAAUAGGAAAAUGGUUACAUUCAAAUUUGACCUAGAUGGUGACAACCCCGAGGAGAUAGCAACAAUUAUGGUGAACAAUGACUUUAUUCUAGCAAUAGAGAGAGAGUCGUUUGUGGAUCAAGUGCGAG
rnacentral:lncRNA from 1 species